UGCAAAAUGGGCGAAAGCCCGAUGCAGCAACGCCGCGUGGGCGAUGAUGGCCUUCGGGUCGUAAAGCCCUUUUUGAGGGGAUGAGGAAGGACAGUAUCCUCAGAAUAAGCCUCGGCUAACUACGUGCCAGCAGCCGCGGUAAAACGUAGGAGGCGAGCGUUAUCCGGAUUUCCUGGGCGUAAAGCGCGUGCAGGCGGAUUGGAGAGUUGGAUGUGAAAGCUCCCGGCUUAACUGGGAGAGGUCGUACAAUACUUCCAGUCGUGGUUGCAGUAGAAGGAAGUGGAAUUCCGGGUGUAGUGGUGCAAUGCGUAGAUAUCCGGAGGAACACCAGUGGCGAAAGCGGCUUCCUGGACUGUAACUGACGCUCAGACGCGAAAGCUAGGGUAGCAAACG
rnacentral:rRNA from 1 species